GGAGAGGUGGCCGAGUGGUCGAAGGCGCAGCAUUGGAAAUGCUGUGUGCGGGCAACUGCACCGUGGGUUCGAAUCCCACCUUCUCCG
rnacentral:tRNA from 1 species